GUGAGGAAUAUUGGACAAUGGGCGCAAGCCUGAUCCAGCCAUGCCGCGUGCAGGAAGACGCAUCUAUGGUGUGUAAACUGCUUUUGUACGGGAAGAAACACUCCCUCGUGAGGGAGCUUGACGGUACCGUAAGACUAAGGAUCGGCUAACUCCGUGCCAGCAGCCGCGGUAAUACGGAGGAUCCACGCGUUAUCCGGAAUCAUUGGGUUUAAAGGGUCCGUAGGCGGUUUAAUAAGUCAGUGGUGAAAGCCCAUCGCUCAACGAUGGAACGGCCAUUGAUACUGUUAGACUUGAAUUACAAGGAAGUAACUAGAAUAUGUAUUGUAGCGGUGAAAUGCUUAGAUAUUACAUGGAAUACCAAUUGCGAAGGCAGGUUACUACUUGUGGAUUGACGCUGAUGGACGAAAGCGUGGGGAGCGAACAGGAUUAGAUACCCUGGUAGUCC
rnacentral:rRNA from 1 species